CCUACGGGUGGCAGCAGUAGGGAAUCUUGCUCAAUGGGGGAAACCCUGAAGCAGCAACGCCGCGUGGAGGAUGAAGGUUUUCGGAUCGUAAACUCCUUUUGUUAGAGAAGAUAAUGACGGUAUCUAACGAAUAAGCACCGGCUAAUUCCGUGCCAGCAGCCGCGGUAAUACGGAGGGUUCAAGCGGUCCUCGGAAUCAAUGGGCGUAAAGUGCGCGUAGGCGGGAUAUCAAGUCAGAUGUGAAAUCCUAUGGCUUAACCAUAGAACUGCAUUUGAAACGGUUAAUCUAGAGUAUGGGAGAGGUAGGUGGAAUUCUUGGUGUAGGGGUAAAAUCCGUAGAGAUCAAGAGGAACACUCAUUGCGAAGGCGACCUGCUAGAACAUAACUGACGCUGAUGCGCGAAAGCGUGGGGAGCAAACAGGAUUAGAUACCCUUGUAGUC
rnacentral:rRNA from 1 species